rnacentral:lncRNA from 1 species
AGCUUUCUUUUAAAACUCUAAAUACCUGGGUUUCUCUCAGAAUCGGGGGGAACAUGGAGAAAGUCUGGAAACCCCACUUAACAAUUGCUUUAUUACAGAAGGAAAGGGCGCACCAGACAUCGCAAGUCUUUCGCAUUACAAAGACAAUUGAAAUAAACACUGGCUCCGCUCUUAAAGCCUUGGUAAAAUUAAAGAAAAUUGUUUCAUGGAGUUUUUCAUUGGUUAUUUUAAGUCUUAAAAUAUAUGUACCUUUAAGAUAGGUGGGAAAGGACAAGAAAUAAGGAUUGGCUGUAAGCCAGGGGAGGAGAACUUGCCCUUCACACACAGCCUUCUGAAUCUCUCCGUAGCAUGGACAGAAACAGAUCACAGAAACGACAGUGUGAACUGUUUCAUGCUUCCUUAGCCCUCAGAGCAAGUGGUAGACUUCCUCUGGCCUCCAGCGGCUGCUUGUCUUGAUGAGGUUGUUACAGGAAGAGCCCUCCCCACCCCGCAAGAUCCCAGACAUCAAAUCAGCACUGCAUGACAGCCUACCAGUCAAACAUGACAAAGCAGACAAAAAAAAAAAAAAAGCCCAGUACCAAGGAUCAAAGGCACUAGUGAGAAAAGCACUAGUGAGUAAAGCACUAGUUUGCAGGGUGACCACGCAUACCCAAGUUUCCCAGAAAAAGCAUAAAACAUGGUUGCCUAAAAGCCAGAUGGAAUGGUGCAACACUAUUAAUCCCAGCACUUGGGAGAC